GAGUAUUUCAAACUAAUAAUAACAGAAAGAGAAAUGAAAGUGCUUCCCUGUUUUGUUUGUUUUGGGUGUUUUUAUUAUUUUUAUAUAUAUUUAGAAAUAGUAUAUACAUGACCUGCCAACUGUUUCUCUUUCAAAAACUCCGCAAUUUUGGCUAAGGGUUUUUGUUCUUUUUGCUUGGGCAAAACGACAACUUGGGUUGAGUUUAUCUCUCGAUUUCGUCCCUGUUGUCGUUCCGUUUUUUUAGUUCUUGAUUCCGCGUGUUACAAGCUUUCUCGGCUGACUUCACUGCCAACUGUGUGUCUCUCGACUUGUUCAGAGGUUAUUGUAGCUCAAUAAAACCGGUAUGGUCUUUUUUAUUUUUCAGGUGGAUUAAUUUAAAUAAGGGUUCUGCGUUUUAUUGGAUUUUGAGAAUUUCAUUGCGUGGAAUUAAGGUUUUUAUGAUUCAGUGUUUGGUUUCAAUUCCAAUUGAUGUGGGACAAAAAGGGUUAUUUUGUGUUGAUUGAAUUUGAAGCUUGGGGUUAAGAUAAAAGGGGUUUUUUUUUUUUUUUGGAAGAAAAAUAGGGAGAAAAGGGUUUUUUGCAAUUGGGGUUUUGGUUCUGAACAUAUAUGCAAGGAGAUUGAUUGGGAAUUUGGUUUGAUUUGAGUGAAUUUUUGUGGGUAUUGAGUCGGUUGAUGACUGGGUUGUGGAUUUUGAGUUUUGGGGUUUAAGGUGUGUGAGUGUGAAUUGGGAAAUUACAAUGGAUGAAGGUCAGGGCGGUUCGAAUUCGUUGCCUCCGUUCCUUACAAAGACGUAUGAGAUGGUAGAUGAUCCCUCCACGGAUUCAGUUGUGUCGUGGAGCGCAAAUAACAAAAGCUUUAUUGUGUGGAAUCCACCGGAGUUCGCGAGGGAUUUGUUGCCAAGGUUCUUUAAGCACAAUAACUUCUCAAGCUUCAUUAGACAGCUCAAUACAUAUGGUUUUAGGAAAAUUGAUCCGGAACAAUGGGAAUUUGCGAAUGAGGAAUUUAUAAGAGGCCAGCCACACCUGUUAAAAAACAUACACAGACGAAAACCUGUUCAUAGCCAUUCAUUACAGAAUUUACAGGGACAAGGGAGUGCUUCUCCUAUGUCUGAAUCAGAAAGACAGAGUUUGAAGGAGGAGAUUGAGGGACUUAAACAUGAGAGAGAAAGGCUUCUUUUGGAGUUACAGAGGCAUGAAGAGGAGAGGCAAGGAUUCGAGAUGCAAGUCCAGUUAUACAAGGAGCGUUUGCAGCAUGUGGAACGCCAGCAACAAAAGAUGAUGUCUUCUGUAGCUCAAGUCUUGCGGAAACCAGGGCUUCCUUUGAAUCUUGUGACACAAUUGGAAAAUCAUGAUAGAAAGAGAAGGUUGCCAAGAAUCGGUUACAUCUAUGAUGAAGCCAGCAUUGAAGAUACUCAGAUGGGGACUUCCCAAACUGUACCUGGAGAAAGUGGGGUGAGUGCUUGUGCUUUGACAUCGAAUGUGGAGCCAUUUGAGCACGUGCGGUCAUCAUUGUUUGUUUGGGAGAAUCUUCUACGUGAUGUUAGUGAAACUGUCAUGAAAUUUAAUUCGAACCCGGAUUUAGAUGAAUCUACUAGUUGUGAUGAGAGCCCCACCAUAUCUUGUGUACAGCUGAAUGUUGAUGUCAGGCCUAAAUCCCCUGGAAUUGACAUGAACUCUGAGCCUGCAACUGCUGCUGUGCCGGAGCCCGUUGAGCCCGAUGCCUCAAAAGAACAGGGACUUGUUACUACUACUGUGCCAACUGGGGUCAAUGAUGUAUUCUGGGAACAGUUCUUGACUGAGAAUCCUGGUGCAGCUGACACACAGGAGGUUCAGUCAGAAAGAAAGGAAUCAAUGGCAGAAAGAAUGAAGCAGGACCUGGUGAUGAUGACAAAUUAUAGCAGGGUAUCAGGGAUGUAAAUAACCUUGCCAAGCAGAUGGGGGCAUCUUACUCCUACAGAGAGAACUUGGUAUCAGUUUAUUUUUUUCCCGGCUUUUGAUGCCCCAGUGGCUCACUUGUAAUAAUUUAGCUUUUGGAAUAAAGCCAUGUUGGCUAAUGCUGUGGACACAAAAGCACAUAAGAUAUAAGAUGGCAUGGAAUAAUGAGCUUGAAAAAGGGUAUCUGACAUAGUUUUCAGCACCAAAAAUAAGAAUCUGAUAUUAUGUGUGGCUAAAGAUACUGAUGUAGAGAAAAGUGCUGAUGUUCUUCUUGUUGUAUAUUCUCGAAUAUCAUGUCCUGGAUAUGAAGAAUCAAGAUUUGUGAAGUACCUUAAAUCCAUUUGAUGUCA